rnacentral:rRNA from 1 species
GAUGAACGCUGGCGGCGUGCCUAAUACAUGCAAGUCGAGCGAACAGAUGAGAAGCUUGCUUCUCUGAUGUUAGCGGCGGACGGGUGAGUAACACGUGGGUAACCUACCUAUAAGACUGGGAUAACUCCGGGAAGCCGGGGCUAAUACCGGAUAAUAUUUUGAACCGCAUGGUUCAAUAGUGAAAGACGGUUUCGGCUGUCACUUAUAGAUGGACCCGCGCCGUAUUAGCUAGUUGGUAAGGUAACGGCUUACCAAGGCGACGAUACGUAGCCGACCUGAGAGGGGGAUCGGCCACACUGGAACUGAGACACGGUCCAGACUCCUACGGGAGGCAGCAGUAGGGAAUCUUCCGCAAUGGGCGAAAGCCUGACGGAGCAACGCCGCGUGAGUGAUGAAGGUCUUCGGAUCGUAAAACUCUGUUGUUAGGGAAGAACAAAUUUGUUAGUAACUGAACAAGUCUUGACGGUACCUAUCCAGAAAGCCACGGCUAACUACGUGCCAGCAGCCGCCGUAA